rnacentral:rRNA from 1 species
AAACAUGUCUUUUUGAGUUAUUUUUAAAGUCUGACCUGCCCACUGAAUAAUUUUUAAAUGGCCGCAGUAUCCUAACUGUGCAAAGGUAGCAUAAUCAUUAGUCUUUUAAUUGAAGGCUGGUAUGAACGGUUGGACGAAGUAUAAGCUGUUUCAUAUAAAAUUAUUUUAGAAUUUUAUAUUUUAGUUAAAAAGCUAAAAUUUUAUUAAAAGACGAGAAGACCCUAUAAAUCUUUAUAUUUAUAAUUAUUCAAGUUUUUUGGAUUAAUUUUAUUUUUAUAAUUGUAAAUAUUUUGUUGGGGUGAUGUUAAAAUUUAAUGAACUUUUAAUUAUUUAUUAAAUCAUUAAUUUAUGAAUAAUUGAUCCAUUAUUAGUGAUUAUAAGAUUAAGUUACUUUAGGGAUAACAGCGUAAUUUUUUUUGAGAGUUCAUAUCGACAAAAAAGUUUGCGACCUCGAUGUUGGAUUAAGAUAGAUAUUUAGGUGUAGCCGCUUAAACAUAAAGUCUGUUCGACUUUUAAAUUCUUACAUGAUC